CUGACGAGCGGCGGACGGGUGAGUAAUACUUAGGAAUCUACCUAGUAGUGGGGGAUAGCUCGGGGAAACUCGAAUUAAUACCGCAUACGACCUACGGGAGAAAGGGGGCAACUUGUUGCUCUCGCUAUUAGAUGAGCCUAAGUCGGAUUAGCUAGAUGGUGGGGUAAAGGCCUACCAUGGCGACGAUCUGUAGCUGGUCUGAGAGGAUGAUCAGCCACACCGGGACUGAGACACGGCCCGGACUCCUACGGGAGGCAGCAGUGGGGAAUAUUGGACAAUGGGGGCAACCCUGAUCCAGCCAUGCCGCGUGUGUGAAGAAGGCCUUUUGGUUGUAAAGCACUUUAAGCAGUGAAGAAGACUCCAUGGUUAAUACCCAUGGACGAUGACAUUAGCUGCAGAAUAAGCACCGGCUAACUCUGUGCCAGCAGCCGCGGUAAUACAGAGGGUGCAAGCGUUAAUCGGAAUUACUGGGCGUAAAGCGAGCGUAGGUGGCUUGAUAAGUCAGAUGUGAAAGCCCCGGGCUUAACCUGGGAACGGCAUCUGAUACUGUUA
rnacentral:rRNA from 1 species